UACGGGAGGAGCAAGCGUUGUUCGGAUUUACUGGGCGUAAAGGGCGCGUAGGCGGCCACUGCAAGUCGGUUGUGAAAUCUCCGGGCUUAACCCGGAAAGGUCAAUCGAUACUGCAGGGCUAGAGUGCAGAAGGGGCAACUGGAAUUCUCGGUGUAGCGGUGAAAUGCGUAGAUAUCGAGAGGAACACCUGCGGCGAAGGCGGGUUGCUGGGCUGACACUGACGCUGAAGCGCGAAAGCUAGGGGAGCGAACGGG
rnacentral:rRNA from 1 species